rnacentral:lncRNA from 1 species
ACUGGAUUCCCUUGAUUCAAGGCCUAGGGAGUUCCUGCCCUACACUGGCCCUCGCGAAAAUAUUUGUCUUUGAGGACGUCUGGGGCUGCGACCGCGGAAUAGAAAAAAAUAGUAGCACCUGCUGCAGAUGCUAGUGUGCCAUCACAAUAAAUCCUCCUGUGCUGACUUUCAGGCAGAAGACACAGCUGUGAGCAGAGCUGGUCAUGUGUCAUCUACUGCUUUUUAAGCAGAUCCUCGUGUGUAUCCAUUGUCUGAGCUUUAAGUAGAAGCUUUUUUAACCUACAUAGUUUUUCACUGAAUCUGUUAGUUUCAGCAUGCUGUUUGUGUUGUUUUCAGUAGUGCAAUUCCUGAUAUCUAUCAAGUAAACACCAUUAAGGAUUGAGC